GAGUCAAGGCCUAGAGGCGACUCCAGUCAGAUAAGAGCAAGGAGAAAGCAGCAGAGUGAGCUGCUGUUAAAUCGAGGACUACUCUGACCAUUUUGUACGGGUAUUAUUUUAUACCCUUGUAGAUAAUCUUGAUGUAAAUAUAAAAAUGUUGUAUGUAUCAAUGUAGUUGAGCAGUUGUAAAUAAAUUGUAAUAAUAUUUUUUGGAUUUCCUUCUGUAAAUUAAUAUUUGUACUUAUGAAUUUCUUACUUUAUGCUUUGUGAUUGGAGAUAUUAAAUGUUUUGAGA